rnacentral:lncRNA from 1 species
CGAACACGCACGUUAUUGGAGGAUAGAGGAUUGAGUAAGAGAGCCCAAAAAUUUGAUUGGAGGAGCCGACUCCGGAUGUGCUUGACUGAACACUGAUUGGAGAACAGAGGGGUCAGGAAGAGCAGUUCCGCACGAGGAUUGGGCGGUGGCGUGUCCCAUGGAAACGGAAUCCAGAACUGCAGCCAGGGUUUUUCACGGGGGCGGAGCCGGCUCUUCCCCAGGCGCCUGCGCCUAACCGGUUCCCCGGCGCCAUUUUGUCCCGGCAGCAGCAGCCCGCAGCUCUAUCCCAUUUUCUGUGUCUGGAGGGAAGGACGCGGACUCUCUCGGAGUUGUGCUGAAGACAACAGACACCUCCAUGACAACCCAAAGUAUCACAGAGGAAAUGAAAAACUGUGGACUCAUUCAAAGUUAAGAUUAGGUAUGACCAUGGAAGACUUCUAGAGAAUCUUGACUGAUGAUGUGGAAAAAGAGACCCAGAAGAACAAAAAAACAGGUGACUGGAAUGCUGGUCCCCCUGUGCAGGAACAGCUCAGGAGACUGUCGGAGACAUGAGUGUCCUUGUAGAAGCCAGCAGUCUUGUUGGCUGUCAGGUCCUCAUGACUUAGUAUUAUUACAUGUCAUCCUUUCAUGUGGCAUGAAUGAGGAUUUAUAAAGCCCUGUUACGGUUUGGUUAUGCAGUCCAAACAGACUUACAAAGAUUGACAGAUUAAUUUUACUGCUCAAGCAUAGAACAGAGACUCCUCAUUAGCUAAUUUGUGCAUACUACACUUUCCGUACACGUGUUACUGCAAAAAUGUCCCUACAGUGUUACCAGAGCUGGGGCAGGAAGUAAGGGUGGAAUUCCUGAGCUCACUGACAACUGAUGCUGAAGGAAGCAGGAGGUGGGCGGAGCUGGCAGUGGUGAGAGCCACGUGGAUACAUGGGAUGGUGGAGGAGUCAGGAAAAGUUAGUAGCUAGCUGAGACUGUCCUAGCAAAAGACCAACAGCUUUAUUUUCUUCAAAAUGUAAUAAUAAACUGUAGAAAUAAACUAUUUUGAAGG